CGGACAACCACUGGUGCGCGUCCUGAAUGAACUCAUUAUGCAUAGUACCAGGAGCCCAUACACCAUUUCAAUUCAACAGUGCUGUCUAUUCACGAAAUACUACAGCGUCUGAAGUCGAUUCUAAAAGCCAAAAGGCUUAAGUACGAAUAGGUGCGUCGAAAUAAUAAAUGAAAAAGAUCCAUCUGCAAGAAGAGAAGUCUUCGACGGUAGAUAUAUUCGACAUGAAUUGAGGAAGUUCAAAUGCAGACAGACGGGACACGAUGUCAAGAUUUUUGACAGGGGCACGAAACAGCGGGGUGCACGUGUGGAUCGAAACCAGACUCCGUGAUAAUAAACUACAAAUACUAUUUUUAUAAA